UUUCCGUAGGUGAACCUGCGGAAGGAUCAUUAAAGAAUUUGCCCCGUCCUCUCGAGGGUGGGUCCUCUUCUAAACCGUGUAUACAUACCUUUGUUGCUUUGGCGGGCCGCCGUCUCGGCGUUGGCUUCGGCUGACUGUGCCCGCCAGAGAACCCCAACUCUUCUGUUUAGUAUUGUCUGAGUACUAUUUAAUAGUUAAAACUUUCAACAACGGAUCUCUUGGUUCUG
rnacentral:misc_RNA from 1 species